GGGGACCCACCCCUAUCUUCCUAGGAUUUCUUUGCCUCCUGCCUCUAUUAAUUUGCAAGCAACACAAGCUCAUGAAGGGGCUCCAGUCCCUCUCCAGAUUCCAGGGCUUUGUGGUGUGGCAGGAUGAGUGGCCACACUUGAAAGACUCAGGAGACAGCGAGGUUUAACCUAAAGCCAUGAGCUGGGAAUCCACUCAAGCAGGAGGCUGAAAAUGCAAAUAUAGGAAAGUACAGUGACUGUGGAGUGGGGAUGCUGCAAGGCAGCCCGCACCCUUUGCCUCUGAAAUAACUACUUUUUGGAGGUGCCAGAGGAGAGAAUCGGUGGAGCGCCCUCCUGGAGUGGGAUCACAGCACCACCCAAGCCUAGAAUCGUCAUCUUCUGGGUAAGCAAAACAUUUACUUCUCUGUGAAUAACCAAGUCAGCCUGUGAGUCCCUAAAGCCAUUUGACCCUUCCCAUAAGCGUCUCACUGGUGGAAUGCGAGGCUGACCAUGGAAUCAGUUAGAGUAAUAGCAAAUACUAGAAUUCAUUCUAAGCGAGAUUACCAUUCAGGUCACGAAGUCGGGGGACUCAGCGGAGGCUUUGC
rnacentral:lncRNA from 1 species